rnacentral:rRNA from 1 species
CCUACGGGAGGCAGCAGUGGGGAAUAUUGCACAAUGGGGGAAACCCUGAUGCAGCGACGCCGCGUGAGUGAAGAAGUAAUUCGUUAUGUAAAGCUCUAUCAGCAGGGAAGAAAAUGACGGUACCUGAGUCAGAAGCCCCGGCUAACUACGUGUCAGCAGCCGCGGUCAUACGUCGGGGGAAAGCGUUAUCCGGAUUUACUGGGUGUAAAUGGAGCGUAGACGGCAGUGCAAGUCUGGAGUGAAAGGCGGGGGCUCAACCCCCGGACUGCUCUGGAAACUGUACGGCUGGAGUGCAGGAGAGGGAAGUGGAAUUCCUAGUGUAGCGGUGAAAUGCGUAGAUAUUAGGAGGAACACCAGUGGCGAAGGCGGCUUACUGGACUGUAACUGACGUUGAGGCUCGAAAGCGUGGGGAGCAAACAGGAGUAGAUACCCGGGUAGUC